GACGAACGCUGGCGGCGUGCUUAACACAUGCAAGUCGAACGGAAAGGCCCUGCUUUUGUGGGGUGCUCGAGUGGCGAACGGGUGAGUAACACGUGAGUAACCUGCCCUUGACUUUGGGAUAACUUCAGGAAACUGGGGCUAAUACCGGAUAGGAGCUCCUUCUGCAUGGUGGGGGUUGGAAAGUUUCGGCGGUUGGGGAUGGACUCGCGGCUUGUCAGCUUGUUGGUGGGGUAGUGGCUUACCAAGGCUUUGACGGGUAGCCGGCCUGAGAGGGUGACCGGCCACAUUGGGACUGAGAUACGGCCCAGACUCCUACGGGAGGCAGCAGUGGGGAAUAUUGCACAAUGGGCGGAAGCCUGAUGCAGCAACGCCGCGUGCGGGAUGACGGCCUUCGGGUUGUAAACCGCUUUCGCCUGUGACGAAGCGUGAGUGACGGUAAUGGGUAAAGAAGCACCGGCUAACUACGUG
rnacentral:rRNA from 1 species